rnacentral:rRNA from 1 species
AGAUAGUUGAGUUUGGUGAUGGCUCUGAUUGAACACUGUCCAAGUGCUUGACACAUGCUAAUCGAACGUUUUAAUUAAAGGCUAUUAAAGCUUCUAAUUAAAAAGUGGUGUACAGGUGAGUAUAAUAAUAUUUUAUGCCGACCUUAAAGUGAAGAUAAAUUCUUCAUAUAAUAAAGGGAUUAAGUAUUCCCGCUUUAAGAGGACGAUAAAUAUUUUCGGGAUAGGUAGUAGUGAAGGUUAUGUCUUCACUAGCCAUAACUCUCGUAGUCGAAGCUGAAAGGUUAAUCGACCACAUUGGGUCUGAAAAAAGCCCAAUGCAAGUUAGUACAGCAGUGAGGAAUAUUGGUCAAUGGCCUAACGGCUGAACUGGCAACUUGGAGAAGUGUUAAGUCUUUAAUUUUGUGCUAUAGCGUAAGCUUAGUGUGAUUUAAGCAAAAUUGAAGAUUAAAUUAGUAUUGAAUGAAACUUUGUUUAUAUAUCGAUAAUGACGAUAUAUAUAUUAUGUCUUGACCAAUUACGUGCCAGCAGUCGCGGUAAUACGUAAGAGACUAGUGUUAUUCAUCUUAAUUAGGUUUAAAGGGUACUCAAACGGUCUGCUUUGCAAAAAAGACUAGAGUUAUAUAGAAGAAGGUAGUACCUUAAGUGUAGAGAUUAUAUUUGGUUAUACUGGAGGGACUUAGAAAAGGCGUAGGCAACCUUCUAAGUAAUAACUGACGUUGAAGGACGAAGGCAUAGGUCACGAACAGGAUUAGAUACCCAAGUAGUCUUUGCAGUCAAUGAUGAAUGCCAUAGGUUAGAUAAAAAUUUAGUCUAUAAAUGAAAGUGUAAGCAUUUCACCUCAAGAGUAAUGUGGCAACGCAGGAACUGAAAUCACUAGACCGUUUCUGACACCAGUAGUGAAGUAUGUUGUUUAAUUCGAUGAUCCACGAAAAACCUUACCACAAUUUGUAUAUUUUACAGGAGUUGCACGGCUGUCUGCAGUUGAUGUUGUGAAACUGUGGUUUCCAUGAAUUAACGCAAUCCCUUGCUUUAUUUUUAUAUUAUUACUAUAAAGCAUUUGACUCAAGAAUAUGAGAAGAAAAAAGGGAGUAAGACAAGUCAUCAUGGCCUUAAUAUUGUGGGCUAUAGACGUGCCACAUAAGCCUAUACAAAGAGAUGCAAAAAUGUGAAUUCUAGCAAAUCUCCAAAAUAGGAAAUAAAAAGGAUUGUAGUCUGAAAUUCGACUAUAUGAAUAAGUAAUUACUAGUAAUCGUGAAUCACCAUGUCACGGUGAAUGUUUCUCGGAUUGGUACUAACCACUCGUCGCAUGCUGAAAGGAGUUUAUACAAUAAGUUUGCUCUUUUAUAGUAACAAAAUAAAAUAAUUAGAUUUUGUAAAUAUUAUUAUAGAAUUCUUCGUAUGUAUAGCUCUAAUUAGUGUUAAGUCGAAAUACGGUUCGCGUAGCGGAAGUUGCGCGGGAAUAAUUAAUCUU